rnacentral:lncRNA from 1 species
UCUAGUCAUAAUAAUGAAGGUGAUAAUCUAUUCUCCGUUUUCAGGUUCCUUUGCCUGCAUUAAGCAUUCAGAAGUCAAGAAAAGAAGAGUGUGGUUUCUUGGGCUGCUUCAGAAGCCAAAAUUAAGAUUCAAGCUUUGAGGUAUGAAAACAGUGUUCAAAUAAAGCUGCUAGAGGUGCUUUCAAACACUGCCAAAAACGAAGAUGACAUGAUGAUAAUCUAAUAGACUUGGAGCCAGCAUCUGACAGUGAGUCAUUUAGAUAUGAGGUGUUUGUGCUCAUUCAAGGGCAAAGUUUGGC